UGGUUAACUCCAACUUGAAUAAGGAAGUGUGUGAAGGACAGGUCCAAGCUGUUGUUCCUCUUCAAGAUGUAGUAGCUAUCAAUAUUUUCUUCAUGCUAUAUAAAACCAGCUUCCACCAACACAGAUUUCAGUAAGCUGCCUGUUCCUAUAUGAUGCUUAUUAUCAGAAAAGCAAGCAAUUACCGAGACAAUCUCGUCCUCUGCCGGUACAGUUGCUGCUGAUAGUGCUGCUGCCAGUGCUGCUGCCCUGGCUGCCUUCCUCAUUGCUCUCUGAGCCUGGAGAUUGGUGAAGUAGUUGACAGCUGCAAACUCAAUGAGUGCAGAGAAGACAAAGGCAAAGCACACGGCGAUGAACCAGUCCAUGGCGGUGGCGUAGGACACCUUGGGCAGGGAGUGGCGAGCGCUGAUGCUCAGGGUGGUCAUGGUGAGCACUGUGGUGAUUCC